GUCUCGGUGGCGCAAUCGGUGGCGCGUGAGUCUCAUAAUCUCAAGGUCGCGAGUUCGAUCCUCGCCCGAGGCA